UAUGACGUAUCCCCUGCUCUGCGCAGAUUGGUGAACUGAGCAGCCCUGAGCAGAGCUGGGCGCUGCCGGGGGCCCCAGGCGGGCGGGGCAGUGGGUCACAGUGGGGCCCAUUGUGACGCGUCUCCGUGCCCCUGAGGUGCAGCCGUGCCGGCGCUGUGCCCCACACUUUCUGUCAGGACUCCGCUGGGUCAGGACAGGAGCAGGCCGACGCCGCCCGCCGCCCCUCAGAGCAAAUCGCAGCGUUUCCCUCCAGGGCUGGAGGGAACCUCGGCCGCCUGGGCCCUGCCCCCUCCCCAGCCUCAGCCCUCCUCCUCUGCGAUGGCGGAGAGAGCCGCCCCCUGCCCCUCGGAGGCCGAGGAGAAGCACGCGGUCCUCCUGGGGCCCGCUGCUGCGUCGCGCGACACUUCCAAGCCAGCCGUGUACUCCUAUGAGCCUGAUGCAGUGGACACCAUUGAGGCCUUUGUCCGGAGCACAGUGAAGGACAAGGAGCAGAAGAUGAAAUUCCUGCAGAGCAUCUGCACCGUCUGCGACACAGCGGUGAAGAAGGACAUGGAGCAGGAUCUGCGCACCUUCUGCUGCCGGAAUGAACUGGCUGAGAAGAUCAUGGAGCUGCUGGCAGAGGAGCACGGAAAGCUACGCUUGGAACUGUGGCAGCUCGCCAUGGCCGCCAUCACUGCCCUCAGCACGGUGAAGGCGGCGUUGGAGGAGAGGCUCCCUCUCUUUGUUGUGUGCUUCUGCAGCAUCCUCCUGCUUCCCUUGGAGCAGGAUGUGAACACCAGCCUUUACUCCAAGGCCGUGGAGCCUCUGGACCGGAUGCUGGACACACUGGUGUUCGUCCACCCCACGGCCAGCAUUGGCCACCAGCUGCACAGAGUCUUUCAGGUUCUGCUGACUUUCACCUGCUCGCUGAGCGUGGCUGUGCGCCAGAGGGCAGUAGGGUGGAUCUGGAAGAUGAGCGAUUCGUUAGCGCACUUCUGCCAGGGCAGGCCCCAUCGCUCCUUGGGACGAACCUGUUCGGUCAGCUACAAAGACCUUCACAUGCCUGUGCUGGGGGAGCUAGUGGGAAGCCUCAUCCUGUGCUGCGCCUACCCGGAGGACAGGACGCACUUUUUUGCUUUGCACGCUCUCCGUCAGCUCUACAUAUUUAUCCUGUGGAGAACCCGCCAGGAAGCACUGUCGGAGGAGCAGGACAAACUCAAGCAGUGGGAAGCUGACCGCAGGUUCUCCCGCUCUUGGACCACCGACCCCAUGAUCAUUUUGGUGGUGAGGAGAGCUCGCCACGCUGGCACUCUUGGC
rnacentral:lncRNA from 1 species